GAAUUUUGGACAAUGGGCGCAAGCCUGAUCCAGCCAUGCCGCGUGUGUGAAGAAGGCCUUCGGGUUGUAAAGCACUUUCGGACGGAACGAAAUCGCGCGGGUGAAUAUCCCGCGUGGAUGACGGUACCGUAAGAAGAAGCCCCGGCUAACUACGUGCCAGCCACCGCGGUAAUACGUAGGGUGCGAGCGUUAAUCGGAAUUACUGGGCGUAAAGUGUGCGCAGGCGGCGUCGCAAGUCGAGUGUGAAAUCCCCGGGCUUAACUUGGGAAUUGCGCUCGAAACUAUGAUGCUGGAGUGUGGCAGAGGAAGGUGGAAUUCCACGUGUAGCGGUGAAAUGCGUAGAGAUGUGGAGGAACACCGAUGGCGAAGGCAGCCUUCUGGGCCAACACUGACGCUCAUGCACGAAAGCGUGGGGAGCAAACAGG
rnacentral:rRNA from 1 species